AUUGAACGCUGGCGGCAGGCCUAACACAUGCAAGUCGAACGGAUCCUUCGGGAUUAGUGGCGGACGGGUGAGUAACGCGUGGGAACAUACCCUUUGGUACGGAAUAGCCUCGGGAAACUGGGAGUAAUACCGUAUGUGGUCGAGAGACGAAAGAUUUAUCGCCAAAGGAUUGGCCCGCGUUGGAUUAGGUAGUUGGUGGGGUAAUGGCCUACCAAGCCGACGAUCCAUAGCUGGGUUGAGAGGAUGAUCAGCCACACUGGGACUGAGACACGGCGCAGACGCCUGGGGGGGGCAGCAGUGGGGAAUCUUAGACAAUGGGGGAAACCCUGAUCUAGCCAUGCCGCGUGAUCGAUGAAGGCCUUAGGGUUGUAAAGAUCUUUCAGGUGGGAAGAUAAUGACUGUACCACCAGAAGAAGCCCCGGCUAACUCCGUGCCAGCCGCCGCGGUAA
rnacentral:rRNA from 1 species